GAAAUAGAUACCCCCGGUAGUCCACGCCGUAAACGAUGAGUGCUAAGUGUUAGAGGGUUUCCGCCCUUUAGUGCUGCAGCUAACGCAUUAAGCACUCCGCCUGGGGAGUACGGCCGCAAGGCUGAAACUCAAAGGAAUUGACGGGGGCCCGCACAAGCGGUGGAGCAUGUGGUUUAAUUCGAAGCAACGCGAAGAACCUUACCAGGUCUUGACAUCCUCUGCCAACCCUAGAGAUAGGGCGUUCCCCCUUCGGGGGACAGAGUGACAGGUGGUGCAUGGUUGUCGUCAGCUCGUGUCGUGAGAUGUUGGGUUAAGUCCCGCAACGAGCGCAACCCUUGAUCUUAGUUGCCAGCAUUUAGUUGGGCACUCUAAGGUGACUGCCGGUGACAAACCGGAGGAAGGUGGGGAUGACGUCAAAUCAUCAUGCCCCUUAUGACCUGGGCUACACACGUGCUACAAUGGAUGGUACAAAGAGCUGCGAACCCGCGAGGGUAAGCUAAUCUCAUAAAGCCAUUCUCAGUUCGGA
rnacentral:rRNA from 1 species